rnacentral:rRNA from 1 species
CCUCGGGAGGCAGCAGUGAGGGAUAUUGGUCAAUGGGGGAAACCCUGAACCAGCAACGCCGCGUGAGGGAAGACGGUUUUCGGAUUGUAAACCUCUGUCCUCUGUGAAGAUAAUGACGGUAGCAGAGGAGGAAGCUCCGGCUAACUACGUGCCCGCAGCCGCGGUCAUACGUAGGGGGCAAGCGUUGUCCGGAUUUACUGGGUGUAAAGGGAGUGUAGGCGGCUCAUCAAGUUAGAUGUGAAAUCCCGCGGCUUAACCGCGGAACUGCAUCUAAAACUGGUAAGCUGGAGUGCAGGAGAGGUGAGUGGAAUUCCUAGUGUAGCGGUGGAAUGCGUAGAUAUUAGGAGGAACACCAGAGGCGAAGGCGACUCACUGGACUGUAACUGACGCUGAGGCUCGAAAGCGUGGGGAGCAAACAGGAUUAGAUACCCCAGUAGUC